CGCGCGCGCGCGCGCGCACACACACACACACACACACACACACACACACACACACACUCCAAGGCUGAGGGAUGAAGAGACCUGUCCAGGACCUAGGGCCCCAUCUUUCCACCUCAAUGCAUAGGGCCCAGUAUUAACUGAUGCUCUCUCCCCACUCCUAGCCUCACUUUUAACUUUCUGGAACUUGCCUACCACUGCCCAAGUCACUGUUGAAGCUGCAGAAGGCAAGGAGAUUCUUCCACUCACCCACAAUCUGCCUUAGGCUUGGCUACAACUGGUACAAAGGGGAAUUACAGGAUAUGUACUAGGAACUCAAGUAAUUACCCCAGGACCUGCCACAGAGGCUGAGAGACAAUAUACCCCAAUACAUGUCUGCUGAUACAGAAUGUCACCAACAAUGACACAGGAUCCUACACCCUACAAGUCAUAAAAACAGAUCUUGUGAAUGAAGAAGUAACUGGCCAGUUUCACGUACACAGUGAUGUCUCAUGAGCUCUGGGUGUUGGGGGUCAGUUCUGCUUCACACACACAGGAUUUUCAGGCCUGGGCUGUGCCUGUGUCCCCCUCUACAUUACAUCCCAUUUGGGGGUUUGGACAUUUAGUGCAAGACACACACAGGGGAGACAAACUUCCACAGAUCAGAAUUUCUUUCCUGCAUCCAGACCCUGCAGGCACUUGCUACAGAGGAAGGACAGUCUGAUGGGGUUGGGGGGAGGCUCAGUAAGGGGAGGUCAGUGUCAGUUCCCCCUCCUGGGUCCCCUCCCCAUGGACGUUCCUUGUAGGACCAUGUCAGAUCCUGGAGUGAGGGGACCCCUGGGAAGCCCCUGUUCAGAAACUCAGCCCUGGAAACCCCUGUCCAGUCCCCUGUCCCAGGAUCCUGACUCCAUGUGACCCUGGGAAGCCUGUGCCGGGGCUGGGUUGAGGCAUCUUGGGCAGGGCUGACUGGGAACAAGGAUUUACCAGCUGUCCAAGGGCCAUGGCUCUUGCAGCUGGUAGCCAGCCAGGGCUCAGCCCCCAGAGCCUCAUCUGGGCAAGGGCAAAGCCUCGUCCUUCACAUGAGACUUGGUAUGGAGAAGACAGGUAAGCUCCCUAGGACAUUAGCCGACUGCCCUGGGGAACUUAGGAGACUCCAAGGGAAGGUCAGCAUCCCCAGGGGAGGAAUAGAGAAGAGAGGAUGUUCCCAGCAGCUCAUUGUCCACCAGAGAUCAGGCCCAGGGAACACUCUGUUGGAGGCAAAUAAUCAGAGACGGUGUAUUCAGGCGGUUCCUUGGUACCAACCUUUAGGUCAGGUGAUCGUGAAUAUUUUAAAAGUAAUUCACAGACAACAUGGCAAGCCACUGACCAUUUAUCAUUGUUGGCAGAAAAAUCGGAGAUCUGUACGUUUGGAAAGGAGACUUUAUUUCAUAUAUUUUUCAUUUUAUUUUUCUAUUUUUAUUUUUUUUUAGAGACCGGUUCUUGCUCUGUCUCCCAGGUUUGAGUGAAGUGGCUACUCACAGACCACUGAGGCGUGGUAUUCUCCCCACCGAGCUGUGAAACCCUAAGAAGAAGGGAGCUGAACCAGUGAUUGUGAAACAGCAUCAUUCAUCUGGGCUCCUGUGUCAGUUGGUCUGGGGUCCACAGAUACCUUAAGGACCCAGGGAUGGAGGAGAAGACGUGCCCUCAGCCCACUUUCAGUUGAGCACCUCCACUGAUUGUCCACAGGGUCAGUGGCUCCGACCCCAUCUGAGUCAGCAACACCAGAGUCACAGAAGAAAAGGAUGUUGUGAUCCUGACCUGCCCCACAGAUGACUCUGGAACCUUAUCCAGUGGAUCUUCCAUGACCAGCGUCUGUGACUCAUGGAGAGAAUGGAGCUGUCCCAGGGCCACUGUAUGCUCAGCAUAAACCCCAUCAGGAGAGAGGAUGCUGGGGAGUAUCAGUGUGAGGCCUCCACCCAGGUCAGCUCCAGGAAAAAUGACCCUCUCAGACUGACUGUGAAACAGGAAACAUCUGAGUCCCCUCUUAGAAGUUAUUAAACCCUAAAUCAAAUAUUCUUUGUUUGGAGGCAUUUUAUUAUAAAAACUUGAUAUUCAUAUACAUAAACUAAUAUGAAGUUAAAAAUUCAUUAUACACCUACUGUUUUUAGCUUGAUCUUGCAGUAAAUCUUUAGCUUCAUUGAUUGUGGCUACUAUAUAAGGAGACCCUCUUUUGUCUGCGUGAUUUAAGAGCAUAACAUGUUAAUGAGCAUCUCUUAUUUUUUUCUUUAUUGGCAGUAGGGCUUACCCUACUAUUACUAGUGUUCAUUCAUUAUCUAGUAUUAAUGCUGCUUCCCGUUUUGUCAUUUUGGGUUCAUAUCCACCUCUGUAGUAAUAAUCUCUGAAGGCAGAUUUUGGUAGACUUUGAAACACUUGUUCUACUUGAGGUUUUAUGUGCUUCAUGGCUUCGCAAAAUGUAACAGCUUGCAAAUCCUGCAGCAGCGGUCAGUUCAGCUGCUACCACUGCACAGGCCAUGGCUCCAGCUUGGCUCCCCUGCCACCACCAGGAGGGUGGAUCAUCCCAGCCCAGAGGCCGCACCCACCACCUACUUGGCUUUACCAGAGAGCAAUGCAGCAGCCACCACAGUAGUCACAAACUGCCCAAGCACCUUUUUCCUCUUUAAAGUGGUGGUGAUGAUGCAUUUACUUUAUCGAGCUAUUGUGAAUAGUCAAUGAAAUCAGGUGACUUGCAUUGAAUCAAUAAAAAUGAAACACCUUGGAA